rnacentral:rRNA from 1 species
UACGGAAGGGGCAAGCGUUGUUCGGAAUCAUUGGGCGUAAAGGGCGCGUAGGUGGCUCUGUGUGUCUACCGUGAAAGCGUACGGCUCAACCGUAUUUUGUCGGUAGAAACUGCAGGACUUGAGGCUGGGAGGGGCUGGUGGAAUUCCUGGUGUAGCGGUGAAAUGCGUAGAUAUCGGGAGGAACACCAGUGGCGGAAGGCGGCUUCCUGGCCUGUUCUUGACGCUGAGGCGCGAAAGCUAGGGGA